rnacentral:rRNA from 1 species
CCUACGGGUGGCUGCAGUGGGGAAUAUUGGACAAUGGGGGCAACCCUGAUCCAGCCAUGCCGCGUGUGUGAAGAAGGCCCUCGGGUUGUAAAGCACUUUCAGUGAGGAAGAACGCCUGGUGGUUAAUACCCAUCAGGAAAGACAUCACUCACAGAAGAAGCACCGGCUAACUCCGUGCUAGCAGCCGCGGUAAUACGGAGGGUGCGAGCGUUAAUCGGAAUUACUGGGCGUAAAGCGCGCGUAGGUGGCUUGAUAAGCCGGUUGUGAAAGCCCCGGGCUCAACCUGGGAACGGCAUCCGGAACUGUCAAGCUAGAGUGCAGGAGAGGAAGGUAGAAUUCCCGGUGUAGCGGUGAAAUGCGUAGAGAUCGGGAGGAAUACCAGUGGCGAAGGCGGCCUUCUGGACUGACACUGACACUGAGGUGCGAAAGCGUGGGUAGCAAACAGGAUUAGAUACCCUAGUAGUC